rnacentral:rRNA from 1 species
GACAGAGGUGGCGAGCGUUGUCCGGAAUUACUGGGCGUAAAGAGCGCGUAGGCGGCUAGAUAAGUCCGAUGUGAAAUUCCGCGGCUUAACCGGGGAACGGCAUUGGAGACUGUAUAGCUCGAGGACGGGAGAGGAGAGCGGAAUUCCCGGUGUAGCGGUGAAAUGCGUAGAGAUCGGGAGGAAGGCCGGUGGCGAAGGCGGCUCUCUGGAACGUCCCUGACGUUGAGGCGCGAAAGCGUGGGGAGCAAACAGG